AGGAUCAUUAAAGAAAUUUAAUAAUUUUGAAAAUGGAUUUUUUUGUUUUGGCAAGAGCAUGAGCUUUUACUGGGCAAGAAUACAAGAGAUGGAGAGUCCAGUGGGGCCUGCGCUUAAGUGCGCGGUCUUACUAGGCUUGUAAGUUUCUUUCUUGCUAUUCCAAACAGUGAGAGAUCUUUGUGUUUUUGUUAUAGGACAAUUAAAACCGUUUCAAUACAACACACUGUGGAGUUUUUAUAUCUUUGCAACUUUUUCUUUGGGCUUUCGAGCAAUCGAGGCCCAGAGGUAACAAACACAAACAAUUUUAUUUAUUCAUUAAAUUUUUGUCAAAAACAAGAAUUUUCGUAACUGGAAAUUUUAAAAAUAUUAAAAACUUUCAACAACGGAUCUCUUGGUUCUCGCAUCGAUGAAGAACGCAGCGAAAUGCGAUACGUAAUGUGAAUUGCAGAAUUCCGUGAAUCAUCGAAUCUUUGAACGCACAUUGCGCCCCUUGGUAUUCCAGGGGGCAUGCCUGUUUGAGCGUCAUUUCCUUCUCAAACAUUCUGUUUGGUAGUGAGUGAUACUCUUUGGAGUUAACUUGAAAUUGCUGGCCUUUUCAUUGGAUGUUUUUUUCCAAAGAGAGGUUUCUCUGCGUGCUUGAGGUAUAAUGCAAGUACGGUCGUUUUAGGUUUUACCAACUGCGGCUAAUCUUUUUUGUACUGAGCGUAUUGGAACGUUAUCGAUAAGAAGAGAGCGUCUAGGCGAACAAUGUUCUUAAAGUUUGACCUCAA
rnacentral:sRNA from 1 species